rnacentral:rRNA from 1 species
AGAGUUUGAUCAUGGCUCAGAUUGAACGCUGGCGGCAGGCCUAACACAUGCAAGUCGAGCGGAUGAAGGGAGCUUGCUCCUGGAUUCAGCGGCGGACGGGUGAGUAAUGCCUAGGAAUCUGCCUGGUAGUGGGGGAUAACGUCCGGAAACGGGCGCUAAUACCGCAUACGUCCUGAGGGAGAAAGUGGGGGAUCUUCGGACCUCACGCUAUCAGAUGAGCCUAGGUCGGAUUAGCUAGUUGGUGGGGUAAAGGCCUACCAAGGCGACGAUCCGUAACUGGUCUGAGAGGAUGAUCAGUCACACUGGAACUGAGACACGGUCCAGACUCCUACGGGAGGCAGCAGUGGGGAAUAUUGGACAAUGGGCGAAAGCCUGAUCCAGCCAUGCCGCGUGUGUGAAGAAGGUCUUCGGAUUGUAAAGCACUUUAAGUUGGGAGGAAGGGCAGUAAGUUAAUACCUUGCUGUUUUGACGUUACCAACAGAAUAAGCACCGGCUAACUUCGUGCCAGCAGCCGCGGUAAUACGAAGGGUGCAAGCGUUAAUCGGAAUUACUGGGCGUAAAGCGCGCGUAGGUGGUUCAGCAAGUUGGAUGUGAAAUCCCCGGGCUCAACCUGGGAACUGCAUCCAAAACUACUAAGCUAGAGUACGGUAGAGGGUGGUGGAAUUUCCUGUGUAGCGGUGAAAUGCGUAGAUAUAGGAAGGAACACCAGUGGCGAAGGCGACCACCUGGACUGAUACUGACACUGAGGUGCGAAAGCGAGGGGAGCAAACAGGAUUAGAUACCCUGGUAGUCCACGCCGUAAACGAUGUCGACUAGCCGUUGGGAUCCUUGAGAUCAUAGUGGCGCAGCUAACGCGAUAAGUCGACCGCCUGGGGAGUACGGCCGCAAGGUUAAAACUCAAAUGAAUUGACGGGGGCCCGCACAAGCGGUGGAGCAUGUGGUUUAAUUCGAAGCAACGCGAAGAACCUUACCUGGCCUUGACAUGCUGAGAACUUUCCAGAGAUGGAUUGGUGCCCUCGGGAACUCAGACGCAGGUGCUACAUGGCUGUCGUCAGCUCGUGUCGUGAGAUGUUGGGUUAAGUCCCGUAACGAGCGCAACCCUUGUCCUUAGUUACCAGCACCUCGGGUGGGCACUCUAAGGAGACUGCCGGUGACAAACCGGAGGAAGGUGGGGAUGACGUCAAGUCAUCAUGCCCCCUACGGCCA